rnacentral:lncRNA from 1 species
CUAGAAUGAACCCAGUCUACAAGGAAAAUAGAAUUUGCCUUGUGACCUUGACGUCUGUUUGGAUCCGGGAAGGUGACUGGCGUCUGGAACACGCUCCCUGGGCAGGAACUGUUUGCGCGCGGCCCGCAUCCGGGAUUUC